rnacentral:rRNA from 1 species
UACGGAGGGUGCAAGCGUUAUCCGGAUUUAUUGGGUUUAAAGGGUACGUAGGCGGUGGAGUAAGUCAGUGGUGAAAGCCAACAGCUCAACUGUUGAACUGCCAUUGAUACUGCUUCACUUGAGUGCAGUUGAGGUGGGUGGAAUUCCAUGUGUAACGGUGAAAUGCUUAGAUAUAUGGAGGAACACCGAUAACGAAGGUAACUCACUAAAACUGUAACUGACGCUGAGGUACGAAAGCGUGGGGAGCAAACGGG